UGCCGGAUGGUGUAAUGGCAGCACGGCGGUUUUUGGGGCCGCUCGUCCGGGUUCGAGUCCUGGUCCGGCAGCAA
rnacentral:tRNA from 1 species